UACGUAGGGGGCAAGCGUUGUCCGGAAUCAUUGGGCGUAAAGCGCGCGUAGGCGGCCCGGUAAGUCCGCUGUGAAAGUCAAAGGCUCAACCUUUGAAUGCCGGUGGAUACUGUCGGGCUAGAGUGCGGAAGAGGCGAGUGGAAUUCCUGGUGUAGCGGUGAAAUGCGCAGAUAUCAGGAGGAACACCAAUUGCGAAGGCAGCUCGCUGGGACGUUACUGACGCUGAGACGCGAAAGCGUGGGGAGCAAACAGG
rnacentral:rRNA from 1 species